GUAGGGUGCGAGCGUUGUCCGGAAUUACUGGGCGUAAAGAGCUCGUAGGUGGUUUGUCGCGUUGUUCGUGAAAUCUCACGGCUUAACUGUGAGCGUGCGGGCGAUACGGGCAGACUUGAGUACUGCAGGGGAGACUGGAAUUCCUGGUGUAGCGGUGGAAUGCGCAGAUAUCAGGAGGAACACCGGUGGCGAAGGCGGGUCUCUGGGCAGUAACUGACGCUGAGGAGCGAAAGCGUGGGGAGCGAACAGGAUUAGAUACCCUGGUAGUCCACGCCGUAAACGGUGGGUACUAGGUGUGGGUUUCCUUCCUUGGGAUCCGUGCCGUAGCUAACGCAUUAAGUACCCCGCCUGGGGAGUACGGCCGCAAGGCUAAAACUCAAAGAAAUUGACGGGGGCCCGCACAAGCGGCGGAGCAUGUGGAUUAAUUCGAUGCAACGCGAAGAACCUUACCUGGGUUUGACAUGCACAGGACGCCGGCAGAGAUGUCGGUUCCCUUGUGGCCUGUGUGCAGGUGGUGCAUGGCUGUCG
rnacentral:rRNA from 1 species